GAGUGGCGAACGGGUGAGUAACACGUGGGUAAUCUGCCCUGCACUUCGGGAUAAGCCUGGGAAACUGGGUCUAAUACCGGAUAGGACCACUUAGCGCAUGCUUUGUGGUGGAAAGCUUUUGCGGUGUGGGAUGGGCCCGCGGCCUAUCAGCUUGUUGGUGGGGUGAUGGCCUACCAAGGCGACGACGGGUAGCCGGCCUGAGAGGGUGUCCGGCCACACUGGGACUGAGAUACGGCCCAGACUCCUACGGGAGGCAGCAGUGGGGAAUAUUGCACAAUGGGCGCAAGCCUGAUGCAGCGACGCCGCGUGGGGGAUGACGGCCUUCGGGUUGUAAACCUCUUUCAGCAGGGACGAAGCGCAAGUGACGGUACCUGCAGAAGAAGCACCGGCCAACUACGUGCCAGCAGCCGCGGUAAUACGUAGGGUGCGAGCGUUGUCCGGAAUUACUGGGCGUAAAGAGCUCGUAGGUGGUUUGUCGCGUUGUUCGUGAAAACCGGGGGCUUAACCCUCGGCGUGCGGGCGAUACGGGCAGACUGGAGUACUGCAGGGGAGACUGGAAUUCCU
rnacentral:rRNA from 1 species